rnacentral:sRNA from 1 species
AAGUGCGGGUGCGCAUCUGGUGCGGAGUAGGAGGUAGGAUGUGGGCUGCGAGUGCCAUGAAUUGUGUGGGGCCAAGCAGGGGAAAGGUGUGUAGGAACUUGGUGUGUGUGUGCAGUAGCUGAGCCACGGCCACCGGGUUGAGCAGCUUGGCUUGGCUGGAGCUAAGAGCCAGACACACCACUGUGUGGAGGUGGGUGAUGUCUUCCUGUGCUAAAAGGUGAAUAAAUAAGCUCCUCACCUCUCGCGGAACACUCAGGAACACAUCAACAGGGGUCCAAGCCGCCCUGCUGGGAGGCUUCUCUUCAAGAGUUCUGGGUGCCAGAGUGGAAGGCAUUUUCCCAUCAACUGGAGAGAGACGAAACAUCAGAGACCAGGAGGCUGUGGAGAAAGCAGCUGUCCCAGGUGCCUCAACUAUCAGAGGAGGGUCAGCGUCACGUGGCUGCCAGCAUCUUUGAGAAAAUCACUGGCAAUCGGACUUCAGAGCUGCGGGCACAGGUGUGGUUAGAACUGAGAUACGACCUGCCCACCUGGGUCAGGCCUAAAGACAAGAAGUCCUGAGUUCUUGCCACUGAGUAGGCCAGGGUCAUUUGUCCAGAAAACUUUGUGACUGUCUUUGAGUGACCUA